CUCCCAAACCCCUGUGAACAUACCAAUUGUUGCCUCGGCGGAUCAGCCCGCUCCCGGUAAAACGGGACGGCCCGCCAGAGGACCCCUAAACUCUGUUUCUAUAUGUAACUUCUGAGUAAAACCAUAAAUAAAUCAAAACUUUCAACAACGGAUCUCUUGGUUCUGGCAUCGAUGAAGAACGCAGCAAAAUGCGAUAAGUAAUGUGAAUUGCAGAAUUCAGUGAAUCAUCGAAUCUUUGAACGCACAUUGCGCCCGCCAGUAUUCUGGCGGGCAUGCCUGUUCGAGCGUCAUUUCAACCCUCAAGCCCAGCUUGGUGUUGGGACUCGCGAGUCAAAUCGCGUUCCCCAAAUUGAUUGGCGGUCACGUCGAGCUUCCAUAGCGUAGUAGUAAAACCCUCGUUACUGGUAAUCGUCGCGGCCACGCCGUUAAACCCCAACUUCUGAAUGUUGACCUCGGAUCAGGUAGGAAUACCCGCUGAACUUAAGCAUAUCAAUAAGCGGAGGAAAAGAAACCAACAGGGAUUGCCCUAGUAACGGCGAGUGAAGCGGCAACAGCUCAAAUUUGAAAUCUGGCUCUCGGGCCCGAGUUGUAAUUUGUAGAGGAUACUUUUGAUGCGGUGCCUUCCGAGUUCCCUGGAACGGGACGCCAUAGAGGGUGAGAGCCCCGUCUGGUUGGAUGCCAAAUCUCUGUAAAGUUCCUUCGACGAGUCGAGUAGUUUGGGAAUGCUGCUCUAAAUGGGAGGUAUAUGUCUUCUAAAGCUAAAUACCGGCCAGAGACCGAUAGCGCACAAGUAGAGUGAUCGAAAGAUGAAAAGCACUUUGAAAAGAGAGUUAAAAAGUACGUGAAAUUGUUGAAAGGGAAGCGUUUAUGACCAGACUUGGGCUUGGUUAAUCAUCUGGGGUUCUCCCCAGUGCACUUUUCCAGUCCAGGCCAGCAUCAGUUUUCGCCGGGGGAUAAAGACUUCGGGAAUGUGGCUCUCUUCGGGGAGUGUUAUAGCCCGUUGUGUAAUACCCUGGCGGGGAC
rnacentral:rRNA from 1 species